AGCGAACGCUGGCGGCAGGCCUAACACAUGCAAGUCGAGCGCCCCGCAAGGGGAGCGGCAGACGGGAGAGUAACACGUGGGAACGUGCCCUUCAGUUCGGAAUAACCCAGGAAACUUGGGCUAAGACCGGAUACGUGCGAGAGCAGAAAGAUUUAUCGCUGAAGGAUCGGCCCGCGUCUGAUUAGCUGGUUGGAGAGGUAAUGGCUCACCAAGGCGACGAUCAGUAGCUGGUCUGAGAGGAUGAUCAGCCACAUUGGGACUGAGACACGGCCCAAACUCCUACGGGAGGCAGCAGUGGGGAAUAUUGGACAAUGGGCGCAAGCCUGAUCCAGCCAUGCCGCGUGAGUGAUGAAGGCCUUAGGGUUGUAAAGCUCUUUCGUCCGGGACGAUAAUGACGGUACCGGAAGAAGAAGCCCCGGCUAACUUCGUGCCAGCCGCCGCCGUAAAAC
rnacentral:rRNA from 1 species